rnacentral:rRNA from 1 species
AUUGAACGCUGGCGGCAGGCCUAACACAUGCAAGUCGAACGAGUGGCGGACGGGUGAGUAAUGUAUGGGAAACUGCCUGAUGGAGGGGGAUAACUACUGGAAACGGUAGCUAAUACCGCAUACCAUCAGAUGUGCCCAGAGGGGAUUAGCUUGGUGGUGGGGUAACGGCUCACCAAGGCGACAAUCCCUAGCUGGUCUGAGAGGAUGACCAGCAAAACUGGAACGGGGACACGGUCCAGACUCCUACGGGGGGCAGCAUGGGGGAAUAUUGCACAUGGGGGGCAAGCCUGAUGCAGCCAUGCCGCGUGUAGGAAGAAGGCCUUCGUGUUGUAAAGUACUUUCAGCGGGGAGGCGUUACCCGCAGAAGAAGCACCGGCUAACUCCGUGCCAGCAGCCGCGGUAAUUC